rnacentral:lncRNA from 1 species
GGGAAGGAGGUAGGGAUGGCAAGGAGCCAGAAGUCUCCCUUCUGCCCCCAAAGUCCCUUGCAGUGCUGGGGUGGGGGGUGCAAAGUGAGGGCUCCCCAGGGGAAUCCAUGGCCUGCAGGGCCACAUGCUAUGAGGGGAAUGGCAGCAGGGCGGCCUGCUACAUGACUGCGGGCUGCAAGGAGGAUGAAAGGACCUGGCCAAGGACCUCUGCCAGACAAGACCUUCCUGCUGAACUGAAGAAGUAUACAUGCAGCAACUUCUGCCCAGAUCACGUAGAAUGUGCAUGAAGACAAGCAUGAAUGCCAUAGCUGUAGUCAGAAGACUCUUCCUUGUCCUUUUCCAGUGCAAAAAGCUGCUGUUCUUGCUCUGUGUGGGUAAGAAAACCUCAACGCAUGCUGAGCCCUGCUGUUUCCCACCAGAACUCACUGCUGUGUCCCCCAGCCCCAUGGCCUUGCUGGGCUGGGACUGUAUGGAUUGAGAUGCCCCUCCUGGCCAUGGAUGUCUUCGCUGGAGAGACCUCAAUCAUG